rnacentral:tRNA from 1 species
GUUUCUAAGGUGUAAUGGCAGCACGUUAGAUUUUCGUUCUAAAGGAAUAAUAUAUUUUAUUAGAAAU